CCUACGGGGGGCUGCAGUGAGGAAUAUUGGUCAAUGGGCGAGAGCCUGAACCAGCCAAGUCGCGUGAAGGAUGACGGCCCUACGGGUUGUAAACCUCUUUUGCCAGGGAGCAAUUGCGUCCACGUGUGGUCUUCGCGAGAGUACCUGAAGAAAAAGCAUCGGCUAACUCCGUGCCAGCAGCCGCGGUAAUACGGAGGAUGCGAGCGUUAUCCGGAUUUAUUGGGUUUAAAGGGUGCGUAGGCGGAAUAUCAAGUCAGCGGUAAAAAUUCGGGGCUCAACCCCGUCGUGCCGUUGAAACUGGUGGUCGUGAGUGGGCGAGAAGUAGGCGGAAUGCGUGGUGUAGCGGUGAAAUGCAUAGAUAUCACGCAGAACCCCGAUUGCGAAGGCAGCAUACCGGCGCCCAACUGACGCUGAGGCACGAAAGCGCGGGUAUCGAACAGGAUUAGAUACCCCGGUAGUC
rnacentral:rRNA from 1 species